rnacentral:rRNA from 1 species
AUGAACGCUGGCGGCGUGCCUAAUACCUGCAAGUCGAGCGCACAGACGAGGAGCUUGCUCCUCUGACGUUAGCGGCGGACGGGUGAGUAACACGUGGAUAACCUACCUAUAAGACUGGGAUAACUUCGGGAAACCGGAGCUAAUACCGGAUAAUAUAUUGAACCGCAUGGUUCAAUAGUGAAAGACGGUUUUGCUGUCACUUAUAGAUGGAUCCGCGCCGCAUUAGCUAGUUGGUAAGGUAACGGCUUACCAAGGCGACGAUGCGUAGCCGACCUGAGAGGGUGAUCGGCCACACUGGAACUGAGACACGGUCCAGACUCCUACGGGAGGCAGCAGUAGGGAAUCUUCCGCAAUGGGCGAAAGCCUGACGGAGCAACGCCGCGUGAGUGAUGAAGGUCUUCGGAUCGUAAAACUCUGUUAUUAGGGAAGAACAAAUGUGUAAGUAACUAUGCACGUCUUGACGGUACCUAAUCAGAAAGCCACGGCUAACUACGUG